rnacentral:rRNA from 1 species
UACAGAGGUCUCAAGCGUUGUUCGGAUUCAUUGGGCGUAAAGGGUGUGUAGGUGGCGCGCUAAGUCGGGUGUGAAAUUUCGGAGCUUAACUCCGAAACUGCAUUCGAUACUGGCGUGCUUGAGGACUGGAGAGGAGACUGGAAUUCAUGGUGUAGCAGUGAAAUGCGUAGAGAUCAGGAGGAACACCGGUGGCGAAGGCGGGUCUCUGGGCCGAUACUGACGCUGAGGAGCGAAAGCGUGGGGAGCGAACAGG